rnacentral:rRNA from 1 species
AACGAACGCUGGCGGCAUGCCUAACACAUGCAAGUCGAACGAGACCUUCGGGUCUGGUGGCGCACGGGUGCGUAACGCGUGGGAACCUGCCCUUAGGUUCGGAAUAACUCCCCGAAAGGGGUGCUAAUACCGGAAAAUGUCUUCGGACCAAAGAUUUAUCGCCUUUGGAUGGGCCCGCGUUGGAUUAGCUAGUUGGUAGGGUAAAAGCCUACCAAGGCGACGAUCCAUAGCUGGUCUGAGAGGAUGAUCAGCAACACUGGGACUGAGACACGGCCCAGACUCCUACGGGAGGCAGCAGUGGGGAAUAUUGGACAAGGGGCGAAAGCCUGAUCCAGCAAUGCCGCGUGAGUGAUGAAGGCCUUAGGGUUGUAAAGCUCUUUUACCCGGGAUGAUAAUGACAGUACCGGGAGAAUAAGCGCCGGCUAACUACGUG